CCCCAGUGCCCAGGGUUCAUCAACACCCGCGAAGAGAACACCUCGCAUCCACCCACCGGUCUUCGGAAAUGAAGGACAUCAUGGACUGACCUUCCGCAAAUCUUCCAACGUCUGCUGGUCAACGCCGCCCUCCUCAAAGUCGAUCUGGGAUGAGUCGCAAACUUCCUGGAUGACCUUAUCGAACACAACGCCCUAGAUUGCCAAACAGGAAUGCAAAGGAUACGUGAGUCUCACAUGAUGCUACUAGGGAUGGGAUGGAUGAGGAUGGAAGCUCAUUUCUCUUUUUCUCUUUCUCUCUCUCCUACUUACCACCUGCUGGUUGGACAUUUUUUGCGAUAAGAGACGGAAGCGCGAGCGCACGACAGGGGAUAAAUACGGCCACAAGGAUCAAAUAUCGCCGACUAUGAAGAAAAGUCGCUUGAAUUUCGGUUUGGCCUUUUUUGGGAGCAAGGGGCACUGCGCGCCAGAGAAAUAACCAAUUGCUCUGUUGAUUUCGUGCUGGUUGGUUCAAAUGAUUUGAUGUUUUGCUCACUUCCUCUGCGUGGCCGAACUGAACUCACUAAACCCACCCAAACACUCUUGUAAAAUGGCAAAACAAGGAGGAGGGGGUGAAAGCCCAGUAAAUGAAUCUGAUACGAAUUCUAUAGAUCUGUUCUCUGGCGCUGUAGUGAUAGAUGCGGGCUCCUUGCUUCCGAUAGCCAGCUGCUGGUCGGAUGGUGAAGAAGAGAGAAAUCCCAUUUAUAGUGGAAAUUCUAUCAGCACUCAGGCUGCUUAGUCAUCCAUCCUCAUGGUGGUUAGGACCAAUGCCGAACAAAAACUGGUUAAUAUUGGUUCUCGCUACUCGCCUCAUCAACCGUUCCAAAAAACUAAAUAAUGUACUUCUCAUUGACUCUUCCGUUUUUUAUUUGUCCUUUUUAUGGGCGGAUUGGUGGUGAACCGCUUUGCUUCUGUAUCGUGCUCAGUCUUAUCCCUUGAAACUUCUAAACCGUCAAGCCACCCCAGAAAGAGCUAUUAGUUCUCCAUGAUUUACACUCUACUACAAAAAUAACUGACGCGAAACUUCGAUCUUCACGAGAAAAUAAACUUAUUGAUCGAUCACCUCUAACUAAAAUCGACACUGAACAGCAAAAGCAGAAGCAAAAGCAACAAAAAAACAAACGUACUACUAUUAUUAUCGACAGGAAAGACAAGAAGCACACGCCGCUCAAUAUGACUACAAUUGCGAUCUUCAUACUCACCUCAAAUGGAGAUUGGAUGAACCAAAAGACAACGCUCUGACCAUUGCAAUGCCCAAAGAACGAACUUAACAAAGCGAUGCCGAACACCAGUGAAAUGCAGAGUCUCUCAAAAACCCGACAUAACCUGAUAUUCAUUCUGGGUUUACCGAAUCGUCAUUUGCUUGGCCAUUUGGCUUCCCUUGGACCCAACGGCUCCCUCUCUUGAAGCAGCAGCCGUGGUGCCAGGCUUCCGCUCGAAAACUUUCCAGAAUUUGAGACUCUCAUCGGCAGCUAGAGAAAGAAAACAUUAGCGAAGGGAGUAAUUAACCGGAAUGCUGCAUUCCGUAUAUAUAUAAAACAUACCAGCAGUAGCUAACAUUUGCCCGUCGGGACUGAGACAGCUGUGGAGCACACGUGUUUCAUGAGCGGGAAUUUCCACAUUACGAACGAGGGAAGGAUAGCUCCAGAUGCUCAGGGAGUUAUCGGGAAACCCGCUGGAGCUCACAAGCUCACGGUAGUGGUUACUCCAUCGAAGGCUCGUGACCUGGGAACCGGUGUCGAUGCUGUUAGUGCGAGCGCCAGUGGUGGUGUUCCAGAAAUGGAUGUGGCGGUCAUAGGAUCCACCUCCUGUAGCAAGGAGGUUCAAUUGCCACGGGCACCAGCUAAGAGCCUUCACAGCGGCGCGAUGGUUGGUCUUGGUGAAUUUGGGUGCGCUCAGAGAUCUUGCGUCCCAGAUGGAGACGAGGUUGUCAUUUCCUCCGGUAGCAAGUUGGGCGCCAUCGGACCGCCAUUCGAGGCCACAGACUUCGGAUGUGUGGGAGACAAGUUCAGCAGUCUUGUGUUGGGCGAUACGAACAUCAUGGUUGAAAAUAAGGCCACUUCGUGCCCCAGUGGAUAGGGUGUGCUUGUUCCAUCCCAUGACACCAACACGGGUCUCAUGGCCGAACAUGCUCCUCAGCUUGGUGCCCUCCUCAACGUCCCAAAUCUGGACUUCUCCUGUGCCGAGCCCGACACCCACAUAAGCUCCAUCACCACUCCAUUUCACGCUGCUGACAUAGGUAUCGGGGGAUGUUUCUAAAAGACAGUUGACGGAACCGGUCUCCGCCGACCAAACAUACACGUUGCGCUCGAGACCGAUUGCCACCUGGUUGCCCGAACUCCAAUCUAGCAAAUUAAGGUAGUAAUCAUCAACAAGGCCAGGGGCAUCCAAAACACGCUCUGGAGCCGUUUGGACUCGUCGUCUGAAUUGCGCAGAUUGAGGGUUGGCUGGUUUGAGAGGGCGGUUGUACUGGGAGCGGAGGUCGAUUGGUUUGGAUGAUUCUGGAGGAGGAGGUUUGAACGCAAGGAUGCGAGUGUUGAGGGAGAUGUCGCAUGCGGAGGCAAGGGAUGAUUUGUAUGCAACGGCAUCUGGCGCAGGGCGAGAAUAGGUAGUGUUGUCGUGGUCGUCCAGGCCCAGAUUUUCCAAAGCACUUGCGAUGUCGUCAUCGUUUUCCCUGCUGCCAAUAUGAAACGCGCUAGCGGCAUUUGCUAGCACUGCAGAGCCUUCGCUAGUCUUUGGCCGUUGGUGCUCGUCUGGCUUGGCAGUUCCCGCGGUCGCGAGACCCUCGCUGGCCGAUCGAUUCGGAAUGAAGCGGUCGGCCGUAUUAUGUGGAAGACGAAUAGUUGUCUUUGAAGUUCUUGAACGGAAAGAAGUCUCCUUUUUUUUAGUUGGCGUCUGACCGGUGGCUGGACCAGUUCCAGUCAACGUCCAAUCAGAAACACCCAGUUCCAAAUGUCGGGGAGAUUUUCUAGUUUUGGCAAUAUUCGACUUUGGAGAAUCUCGGUGGGUUCUUGACACCGUUCUCGAAAUAGAUCUGGCGAAAUGGGAGGAGAGAUUACCGCCAUACACUGACUGAGUAGCCACAUAAGUUGAAUCGGAUGAUUGCCGCGGAGGGGUGAAGGGAGAGGAGUGGUUUGACACAUUGGUGGCUAUGCUAGUGGUUCUAGAUCUGGGCGACGGUGUCAGAGGCAUCCGCCCACCAGCGGUCUUGGAGGAGAACAGUCCAUGGUGACUCUUCAGAGGGGUUGAGACGGUGGCAGUAGCCAUUUUAUGCUGAGAAUUCCAGUAUACUCAAGCUACUCCAAACCACAAACGAGUGCAGAUGAGAUAUCAAAAUUCAACACUCGAGGUGUUUCCCAGAAUAGCUAGACGCUUUUUUGCAGAGAAGCAAUGGUAGGAAGGCUCCAGUAAGGUAUGGAUAUAACUACUUGAAAUAGCUAUACUCGACAAAGAUAGAUGGGUUGAAUGCGUGAACACAGAGCAUACACGAGUAGAGAAUAUACAGAUGUAAGCGGAUACAGAGAGAUAUAGGAGGAGGGAAAUGAUUCUAUGGAGAAUAGAGAUGCAGAGA
rnacentral:sRNA from 2 species